UACGAGGGGGGCGAGCGUUGUUCGGAAUUAUUGGGCGUAAAGGGCGCGUAGGCGGUGCGGUAAGUCACCUGUGAAACCUCUGGGCUUAACUCAGAGCCUGCAGGCGAAACUGCCGUGCUGGAGUGUGGGAGAGGUGCGUGGAAUUCCUGGUGUAGCGGUGAAAUGCGCAGAUAUCAGGAAGAACACCCGUGGCUAAGGCGGCUCUCUAGUACGGUACUGACGCUGAGACGCGAAAGCGUGGGGAGCGAACAGG
rnacentral:rRNA from 1 species